CAUUAUGCUCAAAUAAAGUGUAAUUUAUCAUUAAAACAUGUAAAUACAAGGCACAUAAUGUACGAAACUUGAAAUUGUAGCCACACAUCAAUAAAUAUUUUUAGGCUCAAAGUAUAUUAACCAACUGCUUCCAACAAUAACUGACGAAUUUUCAGAUCAAAAUAAAAUUUUACUCCAAAUGGGUCUUCAAAAAUCUCUUCGUUGAAAUUCUCCCGGUUUGCUAUUGAUUUGGAGACUAUUUGUGAAUGCCCAGUGUCUUGUUGAGUGAAACACUUGGAACAAAAUAGUCCAUUAUCGAAGAACCCCUUGCAACUUCGCUUGAAAAGACUUCCAAAUCUGAAUUCUUUUCUCAAAAUUAAUUGGGUGUUGCUGGAAAUUAAUUGUUGAACCUUGAUAUGGAGUUUGGUUGGAACAAGAAUUUUGAGGUCCGCCUGAAAAUUUUUAGCCAUUUUUUUUUUGUUAUUUAAAAUACGUGAUGGAAAUAGAGGAGAAAGGGAUAAAAUCUUGGGUUAAGGUUGAAAAACUUCAGUGGAGUGCUCC
rnacentral:lncRNA from 1 species